UACGAAGGGGGCUAGCGUUGUUCGGAAUCACUGGGCGUAAAGGGCGCGUAGGCGGCCAAUCAAGUCGGGGGUGAAAGCCUGUGGCUUAACCACAGAAUUGCCUUCGAUACUGUUUGGCUUGAGACCGGAAGAGGUAAGUGGAACUGCGAGUGUAGAGGUGAAAUUCGUAGAUAUUCGCAAGAACACCAGUGGCGAAGGCGGCUCACUGGCCCGAUACUGACGCUGAGGCACGAAAGCGUGGGGAGCAAACAGG
rnacentral:rRNA from 1 species